CUUCUCAAAUGUUUGAAGCCGCGAUCUCCUUAUUAUCUCAAGGGUUUUGUAGGUAUAGGCGGUUCGGCGAGGCUUUUUCUCCUGUUGUUUUUCAUCAGGUUCAAGAGUCUUGCCGAUGCCGCCCAUACCUAUGAUGCUAUUGAGAUCCUGCUAUAUGUUACCAAUAAUCUUUCUUUUCUUAGCUGCAGGGUAAAUCUGAGUAGAAUAACAAGUGAUUAGGGUUUGAAAUCGUACGUAUUGAAAUAGGGUUUGGACUUCCCUAUUUUUGAGGGUUUUCAGAUCGGGCAUUUAGACUUUGUACAAAAAGGGAUUUUUAAGCAAUAGAAAGGGGAGAGGUUGAAACAUGUACAUUUACACGUAUUGUCCGCAACAUAUUCAUAUUUCUUUGGGGUUUUCAGUGCGAGAUCGAAAUAUAGAUGUAAUGAAUGGCAUAUUCAUGAAAUAUAGAUCUAAUAGUAUCAAGUUUCUAUU